rnacentral:misc_RNA from 1 species
GAUGAAGAACGUAGCGAAAUGCGAUAAGUAAUGUGAAUUGCAGAAUUCAGUGAAUCAUCGAAUCUUUGAACGCACAUUGCGCCCCUUGGUAUUCCGAGGGGCAUGCCUGUUCGAGCGUCAUUACACCACUCAAGCACUGCUUGGUAUUGGGCAUCGUCCGUCGAAAGGCGGGCGUGCCUCGAAGACCUCGGCGGGGUUUCUCCAACUUCGGGCGUAGUAGAGUUAAAUCGAACGUCUUAUAAGCUUGGUGGGACUCCAUUGCCGUUAAACCUUUUAUUUUCUAGGUUGACCUCGGAUCAGGUAGGGAUACCCGCUGAACUUAAGCAUAUCAUAAGCGGAGGA